rnacentral:rRNA from 1 species
GACGAACGCUGGCGGCGUGCUUAACACAUGCAAGUCGAACGGAAAGGCCCUGCUUUUGUGGGGUGCUCGAGUGGCGAACGGGUGAGUAACACGUGAGUAACCUGCCCUUGACUUUGGGAUAACUUCAGGAAACUGGGGCUAAUACCGGAUAGGAGCUCCUGCUGCAUGGUGGGGGUUGGAAAGUUUCGGCGGUUGGGGAUGGACUCGCGGCUUAUCAGCUUGUUGGUGGGGUAGUUGCUUACCAAGGCUUUGACGGGUAGCCGGCCUGAGAGGGUGACCGGGCACAUUGGGACUGAGAUACGGCCCAGACUCCUACGGGAGGCAGCAGUGGGGAAUAUUGCACAGUGGGCGGAAGCCUGAUGCAGCAACGCCGCGUGCGGGAUGACGGCCUUCGGGUUGUAAACCGCUUUCGCCUGUGACGAAGCGUGAGUGACGGUAAUGAGUAAAGAAGCACCGGCUAACUACGUG